AACGAACGCUGGCGGCAUGCCUAACACAUGCAAGUCGAACGAGACCUGCGGGUCUAGUGGCGCACGGGUGCGUAACGCGUGGGAACCUGCCCUUAGGUUCGGAAGAACUCCCCGAAAGGGGUGCUAAUACCGGAUAAUGUCUUCGGACCAAAGAUUUAUCGCCUUUGGAUGGGCCCGCGUUGGAUUAGCUAGUUGGUAGGGUAAAAGCCUACCAAGGCGACGAUCCAUAGCUGGUCUGAGAGGAUGAUCAGCCACACUGGGACUGAGACACGGCCCAGACUCCUACGGGAGGCAGCAGUGGGGAAUAUUGGACAAUGGGCGAAAGCCUGAUCCAGCAAUGACGCGUGAGUGAUGAAGGCCUUAGGGUUGUAAAGCUAUUUUACCCGGGAUGAUAAUGACAGUACCGGGAGAAUAAGCUCCGGCUAACUCCGUG
rnacentral:rRNA from 1 species